rnacentral:piRNA from 1 species
UACCAAGCAUGUAUUCCUCCUACUGAGC